CCUCUCAGCUUCCAUAGCUCAGAGGCAUUCUGGGACAGGAAAAACAGAGUUACAAACUUCCGUGUUGGAAAGAAGGGUUCUCUUCUCUCAACCCCGUGCUUUCCUGGGCUGAAGAAACUUCAAGCAGCUGGAAAUGCCAGCGGGGUCCUCUCUUUACUCUAUCCGGCCUCUCGCCGUGGGGCUGAGGAGAGAAACUUCAGUAACCGUGGUAACUUGACGCCAGUGCCAGCCACCGUCAUGGAGCUGCUGAUCCACCUCAGCCACCGGCCCAGGAUCUCUGCUCAUCCCUGCUGUUCCAGCUGAGUGUUCCUCAGAGCCUUGCACAAGCAUCAAGACUGGCUGCGCAAUGGGGUGUGUGAAGCAAAGCCUCUCCUCCAUCCUUUCCUUCUCAGUUGAGAAAGUUGUCACGGGGUCCCCGGUUCCGUUUUCUCGCUAAUGUUGUAGUUAUUGUUUGUUUGCCCUUUAUAAAUACUAGUAAAACACUGUUAUUGCUAUCCCUAAA